CGUUCCAGGAACAUCCAUGUCUGAGGCACCACCCAGCUCUCAUGUAACUGUGAAGGAUGAAAGAGAACUGUUUACCAUUUCAAGUGCAGCAGGUAUCCUUCAUGUCCGAGCCAAAGAGGGUGUUUGGGGAAAGUGGCGAAAUCCAAAUGCUCAGGAAGACAACCGUUCUGAUGGGGAUAAAAUGGAGACCGAUGGAAACACGCACACUGCAAAAGAUUCAUGGAGCCCACACUAGUUUGUUAUAAUACAAAGACUGUUACCUGACUUAUAUACACACAACACACAAUAUAUGAACAUAUAUCAUCAGUACCAAAAGGCUGUAGAAAUAGACUCCUUCUCGUUGAAAAAUUAUUCUGAAACUGAUUGUCAAGUAAUCUUACACUGAUAAUUUAAUACGAUUUACUGAGUGAAUUCUGGGCACUGUCUCUGAAGUAGCCUGCUGCAUCAGUGCCUCUUUUCAGAAUGGAAGAGUUUGCAUACAACAGCAAAGCUGAAGUAUCCAUUUGGACAGUAGUUGACUGUUUCUUGAAAGAGAAAUUAAGUGAGUUAGCAGCAUGCAGAGAUGAUAUACAUGGAACUCCCCCUUUGCUAAGACACUUGACUCUAGAGUGUAGCCAACAACUCUUUGCCAGUGAAAGCCAUGUUGGUAAAGAAAAACUUAGAGUAACAGUAACUCAUCCAAAAUGAAUAGAGUCAAAUGCUAAGACACUGUAGCCUACAUAUUAAUCCAAAGCAAUAGAUCGUCGACCCACUGAUUUUUUGGAGAGCAAAACAGAUGGUGAUUUGAUCAACAGAAAACUUCUGCAAUAAUAAAGAACAACUUCUUGUUGUUCUGUGUAAAUUGAGGGAAUGGAUGAUGUCCCAGGAUGGUGCUGGAGCAUCAGCUUAUCCUGCCUGUGGUGGGGAUUUUCAAAUACAGACAGGUUGUGCUCGAAGUUCAGCAGAAGUGGAAAGGAAGUAGGAAAGUUCUAACCUGAAAAGAUAAUAUGUUUAGUGUAACCCCUUAAGUAAACAAAUCUACAUUAAAACCUCUCCCUGGCCUUCUGGUGAGGUGUAAUCCAAACUUCCAUCUGGUGAGAGUGAGUGCUUGGGGUUACGCUGUGUGUCAAGUGUGAGAAAUUGCUGAGUUUUGUGUCCCAUAAGGACAUGGUUUCUGAGAGAGCCUGGAGUCGGAUUAUACUUUUCUGUAUCAUAAAGCCUUGCCGUGUUAGAGUGGCAGUGGAUGCAAGUGGGGCUUGAUCCAAAGCCCACUGAAAUCACGUAGAGACUCGCACUGACUUCAGUGGUCUUUGGAGCAGGUCCUAAAUGAAGACGAGAAUCCUUGGUGAAGAGGAAUCUGUGCAGUACAGUUAAAUCUUCAUGGAUUAACUGUUUAGUUUUGCUUUCUCUAAAUAUUCCCAGUUCUGAUUAGUUUAAUAAUGGAGUCUUUGCUGAACAGAACGGUGGAGCACAAUGAUCUGUUUAAUAGCAUUGCCCCCACCCUUCACUGUCUUGUUUCUGCUUCUUAAUGUGUUUCCAUCCUUUCCCUGCGAUGCUGCCUGCUGCUAAAUUUGCAAGUGCUGUAAGAAUUGUUAUGCUGUUGAGCAGGGUUGUUUUUUUGUUUUGUUUUAACUGAAUGCAGGACUCUUUGAGGUAAAGCAGAUAAACUGCUGGGAUGUUAGGAACCCAGCCUGACUGAAAGUGUCUCUUGGUGCAUCACUUCAGCUGACAAACUGUUUUUGCCUUAUACCAAUAUGGUGUUUUCUAGCAUUGCUUGAAUCAUGCAUUGUAUUUGUGCCUUUUUGUGUUUAUAAAAUAAAAAUACUUGCUAUUCUUC